GUUAUAGCUCAGUUGGUAGAGUGUUUGCCUACCAUGCAUAAGGCCCUGGGUUCAAUCCCCAGCACA
rnacentral:tRNA from 1 species